rnacentral:rRNA from 1 species
AGCAGCCGCGGUAAUUCCAGCUCCAAUAGCGUAUAUUAAAGUUGUUGCAGUUAAAAAGCUCGUAGUUGAAUUUCGGGGUCAGUAGGUCGGUCGUGCCACUGGUAUGAACUGGUUUUACUGAUUCCUCCCUCUUGAAGAACUGUAAUGCCAUUAAUUUGGUGUUGCAGGGAACCAGGACUGUUACUUUGAAAAAAUUAGAGUGUUUAAAGCAGGCUUUAGCUUGAAUACAUUAGCAUGGAAUAAUGAAAUAGGACGUUUGAUCCUAUUUUGUUGGUUUCUAGGAUUGACGUAAUGAUUAAUAGGGAUAGUUGGGGGCAUUAGUAUUCAAUUGUCAGAGGUGAAAUUCUUGGAUUUAUUGAAGACUAACUACUGCGAAAGCAUUUGCCAAGGAUGUUUUCAUUAAUCAAGAACGAAAGUUAGGGGAUCGAAGACGAUCAGAUACCGUCGUAGUCUUAACCAUAAACUAUGCCGCUAGGGAUCGGAUGAUGUAAUUUUUAAUGACUCAUUCGGCGCCUUACGG